rnacentral:rRNA from 1 species
AACGAACGCUGGCGGCAUGCCUAACACAUGCAAGUCGAACGCCCUCUUCGGAGGGAGUGGCGCACGGGUGCGUAACGCGUGGGAACCUGCCCUUAGGUUCGGAAUAACUCAGAGAAAUUUGAGCUAAUACCGGAUAAUGUCUUCGGACCAAAGAUUUAUCGCCUUUGGAUGGGCCCGCGUUGGAUUAGCUAGUUGGUGGGGUAAAGGCCUACCAAGGCGACGAUCCAUAGCUGGUCUGAGAGGAUGAUCAGCCACACUGGGACUGAGACACGGCCCAGACUCCUACGGGAGGCAGCAGUGGGGAAUAUUGGACAAUGGGCGAAAGCCUGAUCCAGCCAUGCCGCGUGUGUGAAGAAGGUCUUCGGAUUGUAAAGCACUUUAAGUUGGGAGGAAGGGUAGUAACCUAAUACGUUGCUACUUUGACGUUACCGACAGAAUAAGCACCGGCUAACUUCGUGCCAGCAGCCGCGGUAAAGUGACUACUG